rnacentral:piRNA from 1 species
UGCAAUUCAGCUUUUCUGCGGUGUUGGUGU